rnacentral:rRNA from 1 species
UACAGAGGGGGCAAGCGUUGUUCGGAAUUACUGGGCGUAAAGGGCGCGUAGGCGGCCUGUUAAGUCGAACGUGAAAUCCCCGGGCUCAACCCGGGAACUGCGUCCGAUACUGGCAGGCUUGAAUCCGGGAGAGGGAUGCGGAAUUCCAGGUGUAGCGGUGGAAUGCGUAGAGAUCCGGAAGAACACCGGUGGCGAAGGCGGCGAGCUGGUCCAUUACUGACGCUGAGGCGCGACAGCGUGGGGAGCAAACAGG